UACGGGAGUGGCAAGCGUUAUCCGGAAUUAUUGGGCGUAAAGCGUCCGCAGGCGGUUUUGAAAGUCUGUUGUUAAAGCGUGGAGCUUAACUCCAUUUCAGCAAUGGAAACUACAAGACUAGAGUGUGGUAGGGGCAGAGGGAAUUCCCGGUGUAGCGGUGAAAUGCGUAGAUAUCGGGAAGAACACCAGUGGCGAAGGCGCUCUGCUGGGCCAUAACUGACGCUCAUGGACGAAAGCCAGGGGAGCGAAAGGGAUUAGAUACCCCUGUAGUCCUGGCCGUAAACGAUGAACACUAGGUGUCGGGGGAAUCGACCCCCUCGGUGUCGUAGCCAACGCGUUAAGUGUUCCGCCUGGGGAGUACGCACGCAAGUGUGAAACUCAAAGGAAUUGACGGGGGCCCGCACAAGCGGUGGAGUAUGUGGUUUAAUUCGAUGCAACGCGAAGAACCUUACCAGGGUUUGACAUCCUGCGAAUCCCUUGGAAACUAGGGAGUGCCUUCGGGAACGCAGUGACAGGUGGUGCAUGGCUGUCGUCAGCUCGUGUCGUGAGAUGUUGGGUUAAGUCCCGCAACGAGCGCAACCCACGUCUUUAGUUGCCAGCAUUUAGUUGGGCACUCUAGAGAGACCGCCGGUGAUAAACCGGAGGAAGGUGUGGAUGACGUCAAGUCAUCAUGCCCCUUACAUCCUGGGCUACACACGUACUACAAUGCUACGGACAAAGGGCAGCAAACUCGCGAGAGCUAGCAAAUCCCAUAAACCGUGGCUCAGUUCAGAUCGUAGGCUGCAACUCGCCUACGUGAAGGAGGAAUCGCUAGUAAUCGUGGAUCAGCGUGCCACGGUGAAUACGUUCCCGGGUCU
rnacentral:rRNA from 1 species